GGCCGCAAGGUUAAAACUCAAAUGAAUUGACGGGGGCCCGCACAAGCGGUGGAGCAUGUGGUUUAAUUCGAUGCAACGCGAAGAACCUUACCUGGUCUUGACAUCCACGGAAGUUUUCAGAGAUGAGAAUGUGCCUUCGGGAACCGUGAGACAGGUGCUGCAUGGCUGUCGUCAGCUCGUGUUGUGAAAUGUUGGGUUAAGUCCCGCAACGAGCGCAACCCUUAUCCUUUGUUGCCAGCGGUCCGGCCGGGAACUCAAAGGAGACUGCCAGUGAUAAACUGGAGGAAGGUGGGGAUGACGUCAAGUCAUCAUGGCCCUUACGACCAGGGCUACACACGUGCUACAAU
rnacentral:rRNA from 1 species